rnacentral:rRNA from 1 species
CCUACGGGAGGCAGCAGUGAGGAAUAUUGGACAAUGGGCGCGAGCCUGAACCAGCCAAGUAGCGUGAAGGAUGAAUGCCCUACGGGUUGUAAACUUCUUUUAUAAAGGAAUAAAGUGAGGCACGUGUGCCUUUUUGUAUGUACUUUAUGAAUAAUGAUCGGCUAACUCCGUGCCAGCAGCCGCGGUAAUACGGAGGAUCCGAGCGUUAUCCGGAUUUAUUGGGUUUAAAGGGAGCGUAGAUGGGUGUUUAAGUCAGUUGUGAAAGGUUGCGGCUCAACCGUAGAAUUGCAAUUGAUACUGGGAGUCUUGAGUACAGUUGAGGUAGGCGGAAUUCGUGGUGUAGCGGUGAAAUGCUUAGAUAUCACGAAGAACUCCGAUGGCGAAGGCAGCUUACUAGACUGCCACUGACAUUGAGGCUCGAAGGUGUGGGGAUCAAACAGGAUUAGAUACCCUAGUAGUC